GAAAGGCUGAGGUUGACAGGAACCUCAGGGUCUAUCUGGCCAAAUCCUGCUCAAGCAGGUAUACCCAGAGUGGGGUGCCCAGGGCCCUGGCACAUAACGCCAUUGGUGCUCAUUUUACCCUUUUCCUUUCUAGAGCCAAUAAGAAGACCACUCUCCAUGGCUCUAUUGCACGUCCACUUGAAUUUUCUGUGUGGUGAGGAGUUUUUUAGGCUCUGACAUUUCUUUGUAAACUGGAGCACAGAUUUUUAAUGAGAUCAGAGCUGUCUAGCUUUGGGAGCAGCUGUUCCUCUUGAGUAGAAGUUUAUUCUCUCUCUCUCCCACAUGUCAGGAUGAGAAUGGUCACAGCAAACACUCAUCACACUAAUGAGGUACUUUAGCACCUGUUCCACUCUUUGUGUUUAUCCUGUUUCUAGGCAGACGUAGCCUGGCAGCAGCACAGUGGCUGUCUCAUUAUGACAAGGUCAGGUUCCUUUUUGCUAUUUUUGCAAUGACUUUUACCUUGAACUCAUACAGCUAGUGCUCUGUCCUUACACUCAACUGGAUCAACCUGCCGUAUGAAAAAAAAAGUAUUCUAAAUUACACUUCUAAAUAUCAGCAAAAAAGUGGAGAUUCAAUACUUCUUCAUUUCAGCAGAUUGGGAAUCUUUUUUUGUAUCCCCUCUGACUCCCAUUUGAAAGAACAGUCAGGUACUUGCUGAAGAAGCAAGCAGGUAUCUAUAGCGGGUGAUGAGCCAUUAUUAAAAGCAGCUACAGGUAAAAGGGAGCAAUUUGAGAGCAGGAGUUCAGACUGGAUAUGGGAAGGAAGAGUCUGCUUAAGAUACCACAAUGAAUCAGCUUGGAGAAGGCAGAAGGAAAGGCAGGUUUAUCUGCAUGCAGCUCUCCUGAAUUCAAUCAGAUUCGUCAGAACUUUUUCAAAUAUCACUGGUGGAGGAGACAGGAGGAUUUAGUAGAUGUUGCCUGCUGAGAAGAAACAAGGGGAAAUAACUCAGAGAAAGCCUAAAAGAAUAGGACCUGUCAUGCAGCCUCCUUAACUAUUCCUAAUGCUGUUCCUAACUGCAUUUGUUACAGUCUUAACUGUGAUCCUACCUAAACCAGGCUGUGUACACCUGUGUGCUUGCUUAGUGCCCCUGUUAUUUGCACCUAUGUGAAACUACUCAGAUUUUGAGUAUGCAUGAGGUUUGCAAAAAUUUACAUUUUCUGCAUUCUGCAACUUUAGAAAAUCAGUUUCAGCUCUGGCUCAAC
rnacentral:lncRNA from 1 species